rnacentral:lncRNA from 1 species
UUUGGUUUAAAGAUGUCAUGAUGUUCACCAAGGCAGAGAAGAAAUGUUUUAAAGUUGUCCCUUCAAUUGAAACAAGUAUGACUUGGUCCUUAGUGCCUAUGCAGACAUGAAAACGGAAGGUCGAGAGGUUUAAAUAUGUCAUGAUGUUUACAAUUGCGGAUAUCCUGCUUCAGGUACUUGCCUGAUAACUCACAAUUUCAACACAGAAGUUACUAAUCUAUAAGACAUGCCCUCUCUCGUUCAAUGAUGUCCUGAAAUUUUCACACAAAGCUUUGUAAUCUUGCCAAGUCACAAGAGAGCCAAGUAAUCAUGCGAAUUUUCAGAGAACUUCAAGUGGCAUGCCACCAUUUGCAAUGGUUGUGAUGUAGUGAUAAUUAAUAAACUGCAGGCCUUCUAAAUAUUCUAAAGUUGCAUAUCUAAGAGCAUAUUAUAUUUCUCAUAAACAACUGGAGUUAAGCUUCUAUCCUCUUCCUGUCUUGAAGGAAUUAUCUGUUGAGUAAGCUACAGUCUCUUUGUUUGACUAGCUAGGCUGUGUUACAUACAUGUAUAAGAUGAUGCUUUUGUGGCUAUAACUGGUGCCUGCCGCGCUAAAUAGGAAACACCCUAUUAAUUACCCACCUCAAUUUCAUUAGUGCGUCCGGCCUGUGAAUUUUACCCCAGACUAUAAAUCCCCUCCAAACGAAACCCUAUAGGUGUACUAUGACUCUUAAUAGUGUAUCCUUAUAGAAGUCAGUGUGUUGGGUUAUUUUUUGGUGUGGUUAGAGAACUCGACUCCAUUUGGAAUGAGGGUUUGAGUCUUAUUUUUCCUAAACCUUUGAGAGGCAGAGCCAUGGAAAUAUUUUGUGCUCUCAUUCCUCUGGAUGGAAGCUCUAACUUUUCCUCUUUGUUUCCAAUAAGCUACUUUCUUCGAGAUUGUGCAAUGAACAAUUUUGAUGAUAAGGGAUCGUAGAGCCUCGGGUGACUAGCAUUAAGAUAGGAAGGCUGUUGCCGCCCUUGUCCCUUGCUGCUAGGUUGCCAUGGUGGCGUCAAUCACUGGCUUAUUUAGAACAAUAGUUAGUGGAUUUUGUGAUAAUGGUGAGGGCCGAGAGUGAGAGGGACGGGGUUGGGAUUGGUCUGAUGCAUGCGUGAAAUUAUUUCACCACUUCAGAAAAUAUGGCAAAUUGCAUUUCAUUAGAGAUUGAUUUACAGCAAAUUGCAUGAGUGAGUGGUUCAUGCAUUUUUCAUCAAGUCAUACAUUUUCUUGGUUAUGACAUAAGGGUAAAUGUACUGGUUGGUUGCUUCAAGACUUAAUAACAGACACUAUGACAAUGGCUGAAGAGAUAUUAGAUCUACCUUCUUGGCUGGGGGCAUUAUGGGUGGCGCACGCCUCAGCCCCCUUGAUGGCCGUGGUGGAUGGACAUGAACACGAGGGGGGAUCAGGGCGGAGAGCAGGGUGGUUGGCGGAGGACUCAUCCUUGGCAGUUCAUGGGAAAGUACGGUGUGAAGCAGAGGGGGUGCCAUGGCGAAGGUGAGGUAGCCGUCAUCCGGUCAUCUGUACUCCUAAUGUCUUAGUUGGUAGUCUCCGCUCACCGGUUAAAUUUUGUCCCACCAACACUGUUUUUUUCGUCCUCCCUCCCACCUCCCACUCCCAGCUAUUUCCACCGGCUUUAUUUUAUGUGAUCUGAAUCUGAACGAGUCUUAAAUUUUGGUGCAAUGUGAAAGGAGGAAAAUGGUUGCCGGAAAGCAGGUAGAUCUACACCUUGAGAGAUGGCAUUUUGCGGUACAAUGUUUAGGUAAGGAUAUUGUGCUUUCUUCUGAAAACUCUAGACUGUCGACAAGAUUGAUUUGUGUUCCAUUUUUAAAAAAUUACUUAGAAUCCUGCUUCUGGCAAUACUACUAUGACCUGGCAUACCUCGUGAUCAUGAGAGGGUGACAAGUUCCUGAUCCCCAAGAACACCCUCAUGUGCGGCUGUCGUUCAUCGGACAAGACAUCUCUGACGACUUAGCCACACAGCGAACCUAAGUUUGUCAUGGGAGGAUGUCACCUUGGACUGGAGCAACAGACGUCAAAAAUUUACCAGGAAAAAAGGCUCACAAAUAAGAGUGACCCAAACACAAAUUGUCGUACGUUUGCAAUUAAACUCUUAGUAGCCGCUUGAUUCUUACUAUUGUUACUUUGGUGGUGGGUAUAAUUAGUCAUGUAGUAGCAUCUUAGCUUCAUCUUAUUUCUUAAGAACAUAUCUAGCUAUCAGAUCUUAAAGAGUACACCAUAAAAAUUGAAACGCCUAUCAGCUUCAUAGAAGAAAGUUAGUCUUAUGAUAGAAGAAAGGCCCAUCAGCCCUUACAGUGCCUUAUUGGUUAGCGACUGCUUUUCAGGCUCAACUGAUUACUGACUACGUCCAACAACAUAUGACUGACAUGACCAAGUAGAAGUAAAUUUCGUUGUGAUCAAGAUGGUGCCUUUAUUUUGGAAAACACGAUUGAGAUGGGUAGGCGCAUGGGCAUCUCACCGGAACAAAUAGACAUACUGAUUUCACUCAUACACAGGUUGAUUAUAUUAUACGGUCAACUCACGAAGUAGCCGGAUACCUUCUGCUUGAAGUUUGAAAGCCAUUAGCAUGCUAAAUUAUAUGGAUGUGCUGGUCUUGACAUGUGUGCACGUACAUUGUAAAAUAAACUUGAGUAAUGAUUAAUACCUUGUUUACUCUUUGUUUGCUUUACAGGUAUUUGGAGUAUCUAUUAUGUUUCAGAAUUUCUUGAACUAUGGUAUCUCCAUAUCNNNNNNNNNNNNNNNNNNNNNNNNNNNNNNNNNNNNNNNNNNNNNNNNNNNNNNNNNNNNNNNNNNNNNNNNNNNNNNNNNNNNNNNNNNNNNNNNNNNNNNNNNNNNNNNNNNNNNNNNNNNNNNNNNNNNNNNNNNNNNNNNNNNNNNNNNNNNNNNACAAUAUACCAAUAAAAAUUUAGCGCUUGGCUGUACAUAUGAAUGUUAACUUUGUUAAAAUAAUUCUCCCUUUAUAAGAGAAGAUUUCCUAGUUCAAAUAUAUUUUUUGAAAAAAUAUAGUAUUUUCUUGACAAACCUUUUGAUUCUAUUUUAGUGGUGUGUUUAUGUUGCUUUGGGUCUCUUAUCACUCAGAUCAUUCAUCAGAAAAAUAUUUAAAAAAUAAUUCUAUUUUGACGUUUCCUUUGUGUUCAUUGUUCCAUCAUAGUAGUUUAGGUGCACAUGAAACCAGACCAUAUGUUUCAGUUUCACUCUUUGGACCAUGAUGGUGGUAUGCAAGGUGGGCUAGAUCGUAAUGCUAAAAGAAUCAAUGGAGGUUAUUGUAUAGCUUUUAGAUUCUCCAAAAAAUAAUCUAGCAGAUGGAUGAUCCUAUUAUCACGUAUGGUGGUGCUGUGCAAGGAAAUGGAGCAGCAUGAUGGUAGCUAAUGCUGUUAUUUUCACAUGUAAGAUGUAUGAGCUUCAGUUUGUCAUGCUAUUAUCAUGUAUAGUCAAAAAUGAUUAGUUUAAUCGGAAUUUAGAGUUUCAUGCUUAGUUCUCUAAAAUAUUGUUUUUAUAUGUAAUUCCUGCAGAGUGUAGUAUAUUGGGAGCCAAGGCCGAGUAGCAAGCCAUGUGUCACCGCAAAGACAGGAGAGAGAUUUAAUUAAUUGUAUUUGCAAGAUUUGGUCUUUCCUUCUUGUUUUCCUGGUCAUCUCACAGGUUUUAUCACUUACAUUUCCUUCUAUGGUGGUCUGAUCAUUGUACUUUGGGACAUUGUACUUUUAGGACGUAAUGUGCACUUCUGGUUGUUAUUUUAAAUUGCUCAUGUCUUGAUAUGUCUUUCAAAUUCUUGACAUCUGCGCCAGUAGCCUAAACCUCCAUGGCAUGCUCCAUCGGAGUAUUUUGUUUGUUGUACAAUUUUCAAGUGCGACCUUCCAAUUUAUUUUUUUGUAACUAUAAGGUUUGGCACCUCAGAUAAGUUCUUGAAAUACCAAUGUCAUAUUUCAAUUAGAAAAUAAGAUUUAGUUUGAUCAUGCAUGCAAUUGUAAUAACCCUACUUUGAGCUUUUAUGUACUGGUUUAAAUAGUUAAAUCUUCUAGAUUCUUUUGCAUAUUUUCUUGGAAUUAUACU